rnacentral:rRNA from 1 species
AAAUUGAAGAGUUUGAUCAUGGCUCAGAUUGAACGCUGGCGGCAGGCCUAACACAUGCAAGUCGAACGGUAACAGGAAGCAGCUUGCUGCUUUGCUGACGAGUGGCGGACGGGUGAGUAAUGUCUGGGAAACUGCCUGAUGGAGGGGGAUAACUACUGGAAACGGUGGCUAAUACCGCAUAACGUCGCAAGACCAAAGAGGGGGACCUUCGGGCCUCUUGCCAUCAGAUGUGCCCAGAUGGGAUUAGCUUGUUGGUGAGGUAACGGCUCACCAAGGCGACGAUCCCUAGCUGGUCUGAGAGGAUGACCAGCCACACUGGAAUUGAGACACGGU